rnacentral:lncRNA from 1 species
AGAGCAGGUUUCUCCUUUGAGCUGAAAUUUCAAAAAAAUGACAAAAAAAAUAGCAAAUCUGGCAUCAUAGAAUCAAAAUUACAAUGAAAAACUAAAACCUAAAAACAUAUCUCCAUUCCGAUCCUGAUUUAGCUGCGCGAGAAGGCCAGAUAGAAGAAAAAAAAUCUUCUUUUUUAUAAAAAUAAAAAAUAAGAACGCAAGGAAAACCCUUCAGCUAAGUAAAUCGCCUAAAGCCAAAAUCGUGAAAAAAAAUUCCACAAAAACCAAGAACAAUCUACUAUCUUUACAAAACCUAAUCGAACGUAACCAAAAAACUAAAAACACUACCGAUUACAAAUCCCAAAAGAUGGCAGAUCUGAAAAAAAAAAAAAAAAAAUUUCAAACACACAACCACAAGAAAGCGAUAAGAAAUUUGGAUCUUUGCCGGGAAUCAUUACCUCAUAAACCGAUUUUAAGGGAAUCAAAUAGAGGGAAGAGUCUGAAGAGACUCUCGCGAAGCAAAGAGAAAGAGAGAGAGAAGGAAGAGGGGUGAUGCAAAUCCGAAGUGUUGAAUGGCGGGGAAAAGGGUAAAACGAAAAUAAU